rnacentral:rRNA from 1 species
GACGUAGGGUCCGAGCGUUGUCCGGAGUUACUGGGCGUAAAGGGCGCGUAGGCGGCUUUGUGCGUCACACGUGAAAGCCCCUGGCUUAACCAGGGAGGGUCGUGUGAAACGGCGAAGCUGGAGGCAGAGAGAGGCUGGUGGAAUUCCCGGAGUAGUGGUGAAAUGCGUAGAUAUCGGGAGGAACACCGGUGGCGAAGGCGGCCCGCUGGGCUGUUGCUGACGCUGAGGCGCGACAGCGUGGGGGAGCAAACAGG